UACGUAGGGGGCAAGCGUUGUCCGGAAUCAUUGGGCGUAAAGCGCGUGUAGGCGGUUACGUAAGUCUGCUGUGAAAGUCGGAGGCUCAACCUUCGAAAGCCGGUGGAUACUGCGUGACUAGAGUACGGAAGAGGAGAGUGGAAUUCCUGGUGUAGCGGUGAAAUGCGCAGAUAUCAGGAGGAACACCAACGGCGAAGGCAGCUC
rnacentral:rRNA from 1 species